GCCCAACAAAAAAUGAGAUUAGAAAAUGAUAAUCCAUUCUAAGAAUCAGAAGUAGCCUUUCUUUGGACCACACAAACAGAAACAAACAGAAAUCUGGCCUUGAGCAAAGACACAGAUGGGAAAGCAGCUUUCACAAUGGCCUUAGAUCUGCAAGGCAGUUCUGCUUCCCAAGGACUUUCGCAUCUUGGUGGAGAUGGCAAGGCACCUGCUACAGCCAGAAAAGGGUCCCUUCAAAGGAGGCUUCUUCACGCAUAGGGUGAAGAGGAAAUGAUGCUGAAUCAGACUCCCAAACCCAAACAUCUGAGUAACUGAGUCAAAUAUUUUAAAGCCGAUUUAUGUA